AGUUUUUUUUGAUAGAGCCGACACCUAUACUUAUAUUAUAGGUGUCAGUUCUAGAGAAAAAACUGGCACCAAAAAAACGACACCAAGGUGAACCGACACCUAUAAUAUAAGUAUAGGUGUCGGCUCUAUUAAAAAAACCG
rnacentral:pre_miRNA from 1 species